GCGGGCAGCGGCCCGCGGGAGGCACCUCGGAGAUCUGGGUGCAAAAGCCCAGGGUUAGGAGCCGUAGGCAUGCUGCGCCCCAAGGCUUUGACCCAGGUGCUAAGCCAAGCCAACACUGGAGGCGUCCAGAGCACCCUGCUGCUGAAUAACGAGGGAUCACUGCUGGCCUACUCUGGUUACGGGGACACUGACGCCCGGGUCACCGCUGCCAUAGCCAGUAACAUCUGGGCCGCCUACGACCGGAACGGGAACCAAGCGUUUAAUGAAGACAAUCUCAAAUUCAUCCUCAUGGACUGCAUGGUAUGGAGAGGGGAGCCAGACUUCCCCUGUCCCCCAAGGGAAUCCCAAGGGGGCGACCUGGACCCCAUCCUGGAUGGUUGGAGGGGCAGGGACAGGAUCUCCGGAAGAUUACUAAGAGGUGGUCUGCAGCAGCAUUUGUAAUAGGCAGGACCCUAUUCAUCAAGUGGUGGUGAGGAAGGAUCCCUGGACCUGAGAGGUCUGACUUGGGUUCUGGUCUCAGCCAUCCACUUAUCAGUUGUGGAACCUUGGGUAAGUCGCUUAACCUCUCUCAGCUUCCUUACCUUUGUUUAAGGAGAAAACAAUAAUUUCCCUCUCCCCGCUCCCCUCAUGGGUUGUUGUGAAGGUCAAAUGAAAUAAUGGGUAUAAACACUAGAAUGACGUGCAAACACAAAGUGUUGUCAUCCCAGUUUCACCGACUCACAGAACCAUGGCAAUCUCCAGACCCUAGUCCAACCCCUUAAGCUUUCAAAGAAAGGAAAAUGAAGUCCAGAAAGGGGAAGUCACCAUUAGAUUGUGAACUUCUUAGUAUCUGUUCGGUCGACAAGUAUUUAGGUCCUUGCAGUAUU
rnacentral:sRNA from 1 species